GACGAACGCUGGCGGCGUGCUUAACACAUGCAAGUCGAACGGAAAGGCCCUGCUUUUGUGGGGUGCUCGAGUGGCGAACGGGUGAGUAACACGUGAGUAACCUGCCCUUGACUUUGGGAUAACUUCAGGAAACUGGGGCUAAUACCGGAUAGGAGCUCCUGCUGCAUGGUGGGGGUUGGAAAGUUUCGGCGGUUGGGGAUGGACUCGCGGCUUAUCAGCUUGUUGGUGGGGUAGUGGCUUACCAAGGCUUUGACGGGUAGCCGGCCUGAGAGGGUGACCGGCCACAUUGGGACUGGGAUACGGCCCAGACGCCUACGGGAGGCAGCAGUGGGGAAUAUUGCACAAUGGGCGGAAGCCGGAUGCAGCAACGCCGCGUGCGGGAUGACGGCCUUCGGGUUGUAAACCGCUUUCGCUGUGACGAAGCGUGAGUGACGGUAAUGGGUAAAGAAGCACCGGCUAACUACGUG
rnacentral:rRNA from 1 species